AUGCAGGAGGAAAGGCUGGAGCCGACGGCCAGGACACUAGCCCUCCUGCGCUCUCUAGCCCCCCCCGCCCUGCCCCCUUCCCCCGCACCCCUUCUCCCCCCCGCCCCGCGGCCGGGAGGGAGGGAGAGGAGCGCGGCGGGCGCGGGCUCGGAGCCGGACUCGCGCGGGGAGCUGGCGGGCGGGCGCGGGCGGGGCGGGGGGAGGCGCGGGGCGGGGCGGCGCGCGGAUCGAUGGGCGAAGCUGGGGAGGCAUCUCAAUCCCCCGAGCGAAGUUAGAGCCAGGAGGACCGCGGCGGCGGCGGCGGCGGGCGCAGCCCGGGAGCGCGGCUCGGCGGCAGGUAAGCGCGGCGCCCGGGAGCCCGAGGCCGAGCGCGGCUGGCGCCCAGCCUGGGGACGCGGGACCCGGGGGCCUCGCGCGCUCCCCCUGCGCCCCCGGCCCCGUGCGCCCCGGGGCGCGGCGGGCAAAGUUGGAGGAACUUGGCGCCGGCGCGCGGCUCAGCGGGCGGAGCAGGGGUCCGGGCCGGGGUCCUGCAGCCCCCGGGUCGCUGCUGCCCGUCGCAGCACCGCUCGCUCGCGUGGCCCUGCUCCUUCCCCAGUCGUCUGUCCCCUCGGCAGCCCCCUGCGCCAGGUCGUGCGUCCCGGAGCUGCGGCCGACUCUCCGCGGCCUUGGGUCGGCGACCCCCGGCGGUGUCCGCGGCACGGCCCCCGCCCCGUCUGCCCUCCCGGCGUCGCGCAUCCCCACUCGUACCGGGACGCUCCGGCGACACUCGGGGGAGGGGCCGCAUUCCGCGGUAGCUGGCGGGGAGUUGAAGCCCUGGCGUGGGGGUGGGGGCCUUUGCUCGGAACUUGGUGGCUAUCUCAACCCCUCCCCCGAUCUUGGACCGCUCUCCUCCUCACGGCUUUUUGGGGAGUGCUGCUGAGCCUCCUUGCCCCGAUCUGCCUCAAAAGACAGGGGCCCGCUUUCCAUCCUUUAAAAUUCUCACCAUUUGCUUGCAGCCAGGGUGGGGUCCCCUGCAGGUGUUCCCCCCUCCGACGCAGACCGACAGCCUCUGGCAUCAAAAUCAGACUCUUCCAAGCAUCAGCUGCGUGA
rnacentral:lncRNA from 1 species